GGGGCUUUAGCUCAGCUGGGAGAGCGCCUGCUUUGCACGCAGGAGGUCAGGGGUUCGAUCCCCCUAAGCUCCA
rnacentral:tRNA from 1 species